rnacentral:tRNA from 1 species
AAGAUAUUAGAUUAGUCUAGUUUUGUCUUGAAAACAAAAGCUUGAGGUGCAAUUCCUCGUUAUCUUAA